CACCACACAAACAGAGCAGGAGGUGGUGUUGUGAAUGUCCCCGUACCCAGCCUCACCACACAAACAGAGCUGGAGGUGGUGUUGUGUCCCCGUACCCAGCCUCACCACACAAACAGAGCUGGAGGUGGUGUUGUGAAUGUCCCCGUACCCAGCCUCACCACACAAACAGAGCUGGAGGUGGUGUUGUGAAUGUCCCCGUACCCAGCCUCACCACACAAACAGAGCUGGAGGUGGUGUUGUGUCCCCGUACCCAGCCUCACCACACAAACAGAGCUGGAGGUGGUGUUGUGAAUGUCCCCGUACCCAGCCUCACCACACAAACAGAGCUGGAGGUGGUGUUGUGUCCCCGUACCCAGCCUCACCACACAAACAGAGCAGGAGGUGGUGUUGUGUCCCCGUACCCAGCCUCACCACACAAACAGAGCUGGAGGUGGUGUUGUGAAUGUCCCCGUACCCAGCCUCACCACACAAACAGAGCAGGAGGUGGUGUUGUGUCCCCGUACCCAGCCUCACCACACAAACAGAGCUGGAGGUGGUGUUGUGAAUGUCCCCGUACCCAGCCUCACCACACAAACAGAGCUGGAGGUGGUGUUGUGUCCCCGUACCCAGCCUCACCACACAAACAGAGCUGGAGGUGGUGUUGUGAAUGUCCCCGUACCCAGCCUCACCACACAAACAGAGCUGGAGGUGGUGUUGUGAAUGUCCCCGUACCCAGCCUCACCACACAAACAGAGCUGGAGGUGGUGUUGUGAAUGUCCCCGUACCCAGCCUCACCACACAAACAGAGCAGGAGGUGGUGUUGUGAAUGUCCCCGUAUCCAGCCUCACCACACAAGACUGGUUUGGAUAUAUCCCUGACCAAUAUGGCUUUAAUUUUCACCCCAUUCUGAGACCGGGUUUGAAACAGCCCCUCUAGUAAUUUUAAAGCUGCAAUAUGUCACUUUUGUUCGACCUGGCCAAUUUCACAUAGAAUAGUGAGUUGUAAGAUCGGUCUAGAGUGGUGAGUUGUAGAUCGGUCUAGAGUGGUGAGUUGUAGAUCGGUCUAGAGUGGUGAGUUGUAGAUCGGUCUAGAGUGGUGAGUUGUAGAUCGGUCUAGAGUGGUGAGUUGUAGAUCGGUCUAGAGUGGUGAGUUGUAGAUCGGUCUAGAGUGGUGAGUUGUAGAUCGGUCUAGAGUGGUGAGUUGUAGAUCGGUCUAGAGUGGUGAGUUGUAGAUCGGUCUAGAGUGGUGAGUUGUAGAUCGGUCUAGAGUGGUGAGUUGUAGAUCGGUCUAGAGUGGUGAGUUGUAGAUCUGUCUAG